UGCCGCAGCUCCCCCCCUCCCCGCGCGGGUAACGGGUGCUGGCACCCCUGGGCUCUGCUUUCCCCCACCCACACAGCCGCUGCCCUGCGCGGUUAUCCCGGCUCCGGCUUUGCAAUAAAUUUUUGCAACCCUACGGCGCGCCUGGGCUGCCUGCUGCAAGGGCGGGGGGGGGAAAGAGGGGCGCACAGACAGCACUCGCUGCUCCAACGCUUUAUUUCCAACAAAACGCGAGUCCCGGUGCUCCCCUUUUUAACAGGCGCGGAGCAGGGCCAGGCUGGGCUCUGCCUCCCUCGCCCCAGGCGUGGGAAACGUGGCCCUCGGCGCACGCACGACCGCGGCGGCCCCUCGCCCGGGGCGCCGCGGGGGGCAGCCCUAGCUCAGGAUAUCCACGUCCAUGUCCGACUCGGAGGAGGGGUUGGGCCAGACACAGACAGCGCCGGGGGGCAGCGGCGGCUCCGCAGUGCCCACGUCGAUCUCCUCCUCCUCCUCGGCCUCCCUGGGGCGGCUGCGCUUGGGCUGCACCGCAGCCCUCCGGCCCCCCGGCAGCCUGUGGCCCUGCCUGCCGGCGGGGGGCCCCCGCGCUGGCUUCCUCGGGCGGUGGGCGCGGGGCAGAGCCUUGCCGGGGGGAGAGCAGUGGGCUGCAGCCCCCACGGCGGGCAGGUCAUCCCCACCUGCGGCAUCCACAGGCGGCUGCGGCUCCAUGGGGGCCGGGGCCAGCCUGGGCCGCGGCUCCACGUCGCUCCUCACGCUGCCGGGCACCUCUGGCCUGGCCCUGGUGGCCUCGGGCGCAGGUCGCGGCCCUGGUGGGCACCUCUCCUCCUGCACCACCUCCCAGCAGCCACGGCUCACCGCCUUCCUGAGCUUCACCGGCCCCACGGGCCCUGCGCUGGGACAGCCAGGCCGCUUGGCCCCCGGUGGCAGCGGCGGCAGCUUCUCCGGCGGGGGGCCACCCCGCUGCCUGCCGCCUGCGCCAGGGCUGGUGGCCGGCCGCCCCGCGGGACGCUCCGGCGGCCUGGCGGAGCCGGGAUUGGGCCGAGGCGCCUGCAGGCAGCCGCGGUCGAGCCGCCAGCUCGGGCCCGGCUUCACCAGCCGCCCAUCCUUCAGCUGCAGCGACUCCAGCUCGGCCACGCGGAGCUGCCGGGCGGCUGCCAGCACCUCCUGCGCCUCCUCCCACGACACCUCCAGCUCGGCCGUGUAGAGGAAAUCCACCAGCUUGCGCAGCGCCCCGAUUUUCAGCCCCCCCAGCUCCAGCACCACCCUGCGGCCCCGGGGCGGCAGCUCCCGCGCCAGCUGCUCCAUGAAGAAGGGGCUGCACACGGAGAGGACGCAGCAGUGAGCGGGCACGGCCUCGCCUGCAAAGCAACGGUGGCCGUCGCAGCCCAGCUCCGCCCGUCCUCGGCGGCACCCCGAGCCCUCGCGGCAGUGGCGGCCCCGCUCCCGGGGGCGCCCGGCGGAGGGCAGUUUCCCCCUCGCUCACCUUCCGCUUGCAGGACCACGUCGCAGAAGACGUCCGCCCGCUGCUGCUGCCGGUGCAGCUGCAGGAAGGCGGCGCGCAGCAGCCGGGAGCUGCGGUACAGCAGCCGCGGCGCGGCCGCCGGAGAGCCCAUGGGCGCCCCUGCGGAGACAGCGUGGCGCUAG
ensembl:lncRNA